AACAGAUCUGGGGUCAGGCUAUAGAAGGAGACAACAGAUCUGGGGUCAGGCUAUAGAAGGAGACAACAGAUAUGCCACUAUAUAGGGAAUAGGGCUCUGGUCUAUAGUAGUACCACUAUAUAGUGAAUAGGGCUCUGGUCUAUGGUAGUGUAAUAUAUAGGGAAUAGGGCUCUGGUCUAUAGUAGUAACACUAUAUAGGGAAUAGGGCUCUGGUCUAUAGUAGUGUAAUAUAUAGGGAAUAGGGCUCUGGUCUAUAGUAGUGUACUAUAUAGGGAAUAGGACUCUGGUCUAUAGUAGUACCACUAUAUAGGGAAUAGGGCUCUGGUCUAUAGUAGUACCACUAUAUAGGGAAUAGGGCUCUGGUCUAUAGUAGUUACCACUAUAUAGGGAAUAGGGCUCUGGUCUAUAGUAGUGUACUAUAUAGGGAAUAGGGCUCUGGUCUAUAGUAGUACCACUAUAUAGG
ensembl:lncRNA